AUUGAACGCUGGCGGAAUGCUUUACACAUGCAAGUCGAACGGUAGAGGGGGCAACCCCUCGAGAGUGGUGAACGGGUGAGUAAUAUAUCGGAACGUGCCCAGUCGUGGGGGAUAACGUAGCGAAAGUUACGCUAAUACCGCAUACGAUCUAAGGAUGAAAGCGGGGGACUCGCAAGAGCCUCGCGCGAUUGGAGCGGCCGAUAUCAGAUUAGGUAGUUGGUGGGGUAAAGGCUCACCAAGCCAACGACCUGUAGCUGGCCUGAGAGGACGACCAGCCACACUGGAACUGAGACACGGUCCAGACUCCUACGGGAGGCAGCAGUAGGGAAUUUUGGACAAUGGACGCAAGUCUGAUCCAGCCAUUCCGCGUGCAGGAUGAAGGCCCUCGGGUUGUAAACUGCUUUUGUACGGAACGAAAAGGUUUCUAUUAAUACUAGGAGCUCAUGACGGUACCGUAAGAAUAAGCACCGGCUAACUACGUGCCAGCCGCCGCGGUAA
rnacentral:rRNA from 1 species